ACUCCUACGGGAGGCAGCAGUAGGGAAUCUUCCACAAUGGACGAAAGUCUGAUGGAGCAAUGCUGCGUGAGUGAAGAAGGGUUUCGGCUCGUAAAACUCUGUUGUUAAAGAAGAACACUCUUGAGAGUAACUGUUCAGGAGUUGACGGUAUUUAACCAGAAAGCCACGGCUAACUACGUGCCAGCAGCCGCGGUAAUAC
rnacentral:rRNA from 1 species